rnacentral:rRNA from 1 species
GGGUUGUGAGGUUAAGCGACUAAGCGUACACGGUGGAUGCCCUGGCAGUCAGAGGCGAUGAAGGACGUGCUAAUCUGCGAUAAGCGUCGGUAAGGUGAUAUGAACCGUUAUAACCGGCGAUUUCCGAAUGGGGAAACCCAGUGUGUUUCGACACACUAUCAUUAACUGAAUCCAUAGGUUAAUGAGGCGAACCGGGGGAACUGAAACAUCUAAGUACCCCGAGGAAAAGAAAUCAACCGAGAUUCCCCCAGUAGCGGCGAGCGAACGGGGAGCAGCCCAGAGCCUGAAUCAGUGUGUGUGUUAGUGGAAGCGUCUGGAAAGGCGUGCGAUACAGGGUGACAGCCCCGUACACAAAAAUGCACAUGCUGUGAGCUCGAUGAGUAGGGCGGGACACGUGGUAUCCUGUCUGAAUAUGGGGGGACCAUCCUCCAAGGCUAAAUACUCCUGACUGACCGAUAGUGAACCAGUACCGUGAGGGAAAGGCGAAAAGAACCCCGGCGAGGGGAGUGAAAAAGAACCUGAAACCGUGUACGUACAAGCAGUGGGAGCACGCUUAGGCGUGUGACUGCGUACCUUUUGUAUAAUGGGUCAGCGACUUAUAUUCUGUAGCAAGGUUAACCGAAUAGGGGAGCCGAAGGGAAACCGAGUCUUAACUGGGCGUUAAGUUGCAGGGUAUAGACCCGAAACCCGGUGAUCUAGCCAUGGGCAGGUUGAAGGUUGGGUAACACUAACUGGAGGACCGAACCGACUAAUGUUGAAAAAUUAGCGGAUGACUUGUGGCUGGGGGUGAAAGGCCAAUCAAACCGGGAGAUAGCUGGUUCUCCCCGAAAGCUAUUUAGGUAGCGCCUCGUGAAUUCAUCUCCGGGGGUAGAGCACUGUUUCGGCAAGGGGGUCAUCCCGACUUACCAACCCGAUGCAAACUGCGAAUACCGGAGAAUGUUAUCACGGGAGACACACGGCGGGUGCUAACGUCCGUCGUGAAGAGGGAAACAACCCAGACCGCCAGCUAAGGUCCCAAAGUCAUGGUUAAGUGGGAAACGAUGUGGGAAGGCCCAGACAGCCAGGAUGUUGGCUUAGAAGCAGCCAUCAUUUAAAGAAAGCGUAAUAGCUCACUGGUCGAGUCGGCCUGCGCGGAAGAUGUAACGGGGCUAAACCAUGCACCGAAGCUGCGGCAGCGACGCUUAUGCGUUGUUGGGUAGGGGAGCGUUCUGUAAGCCUGCGAAGGUGUGCUGUGAGGCAUGCUGGAGGUAUCAGAAGUGCGAAUGCUGACAUAAGUAACGAUAAAGCGGGUGAAAAGCCCGCUCGCCGGAAGACCAAGGGUUCCUGUCCAACGUUAAUCGGGGCAGGGUGAGUCGACCCCUAAGGCGAGGCCGAAAGGCGUAGUCGAUGGGAAACAGGUUAAUAUUCCUGUACUUGGUGUUACUGCGAAGGGGGGACGGAGAAGGCUAUGUUGGCCGGGCGACGGUUGUCCCGGUUUAAGCGUGUAGGCUGGUUUUCCAGGCAAAUCCGGAAAAUCAAGGCUGAGGCGUGAUGACGAGGCACUACGGUGCUGAAGCAACAAAUGCCCUGCUUCCAGGAAAAGCCUCUAAGCAUCAGGUAACAUCAAAUCGUACCCCAAACCGACACAGGUGGUCAGGUAGAGAAUACCAAGGCGCUUGAGAGAACUCGGGUGAAGGAACUAGGCAAAAUGGUGCCGUAACUUCGGGAGAAGGCACGCUGAUAUGUAGGUGAAGCGACUUGCUCGUGGAGCUGAAAUCAGUCGAAGAUACCAGCUGGCUGCAACUGUUUAUUAAAAACACAGCACUGUGCAAACACGAAAGUGGACGUAUACGGUGUGACGCCUGCCCGGUGCCGGAAGGUUAAUUGAUGGGGUUAGCCGCAAGGCGAAGCUCUUGAUCGAAGCCCCGGUAAACGGCGGCCGUAACUAUAACGGUCCUAAGGUAGCGAAAUUCCUUGUCGGGUAAGUUCCGACCUGCACGAAUGGCGUAAUGAUGGCCAGGCUGUCUCCACCCGAGACUCAGUGAAAUUGAACUCGCUGUGAAGAUGCAGUGUACCCGCGGCAAGACGGAAAGACCCCGUGAACCUUUACUAUAGCUUGACACUGAACAUUGAGCCUUGAUGUGUAGGAUAGGUGGGAGGCUUUGAAGUGUGGACGCCAGUCUGCAUGGAGCCGACCUUGAAAUACCACCCUUUAAUGUUUGAUGUUCUAACGUUGACCCGUAAUCCGGGUUGCGGACAGUGUCUGGUGGGUAGUUUGACUGGGGCGGUCUCCUCCUAAAGAGUAACGGAGGAGCACGAAGGUUGGCUAAUCCUGGUCGGACAUCAGGAGGUUAGUGCAAUGGCAUAAGCCAGCUUGACUGCGAGCGUGACGGCGCGAGCAGGUGCGAAAGCAGGUCAUAGUGAUCCGGUGGUUCUGAAUGGAAGGGCCAUCGCUCAACGGAUAAAAGGUACUCCGGGGAUAACAGGCUGAUACCGCCCAAGAGUUCAUAUCGACGGCGGUGUUUGGCACCUCGAUGUCGGCUCAUCACAUCCUGGGGCUGAAGUAGGUCCCAAGGGUAUGGCUGUUCGCCAUUUAAAGUGGUACGCGAGCUGGGUUUAGAACGUCGUGAGACAGUUCGGUCCCUAUCUGCCGUGGGCGCUGGAGAACUGAGGGGGGCUGCUCCUAGUACGAGAGGACCGGAGUGGACGCAUCACUGGUGUUCGGGUUGUCAUGCCAAUGGCACUGCCCGGUAGCUAAAUGCGGAAGAGAUAAGUGCUGAAAGCAUCUAAGCACGAAACUUGCCCCGAGAUGAGUUCUCCCUGACUCCUUGAGAGUCCUGAAGGAACGUUGAAGACGACGACGUUGAUAGGCCGGGUGUGUAAGCGCAGCGAUGCGUUGAGCUAACCGGUACUAAUGAACCGUGAGGCUUAACCUUACAACGCCGAAGGUGUUU